CCUACGGGAGGCAGCAGUGGGGAAUAUUGGACAAUGGGCGAAAGCCUGAUCCAGCAAUGCCGCGUGAGUGAUGAAGGCCUUAGGGUUGUAAAGCUCUUUUACCAGGGAUGAUAAUGACAGUACCUGGAGAAUAAGCUCCGGCUAACUCCGUGCCAGCAGCCGCGGUAAUACGGAGGGAGCUAGCGUUGUUCGGAAUUACUGGGCGUAAAGCGUACGUAGGCGGUUAUUCAAGUCAGAGGUGAAAGCCUGGAGCUCAACUCCAGAACUGCCUUUGAAACUAGAUAGCUAGAAUCUUGGAGAGGUGAGUGGAAUUCCGAGUGUAGAGGUGAAAUUCGUAGAUAUUCGGAAGAACACCAGUGGCGAAGGCGACUCACUGGACAAGUAUUGACGCUGAGGUACGAAAGCGUGGGGAGCAAACAGGAUUAGAUACCCUGGUAGUCCACGCCGUAAACGAUGAUAACUAGCUGUUCGGGCUCUACGAGCUUGAGUGGCGCAGCUAACGCAUUAAGUUAUCCGCCUGGGGAGUACGGUCGCAAGAUUAAAACUCAAAUGAAUUGACGG
rnacentral:rRNA from 1 species